AUUGAACGCUGGCGGCAGGCCUAACACAUGCAAGUCGAGCGAGCGGCGGACGUGUGAGUAAUGUGUGUGAAACUGCCUGAAGGCGGGGGAUAACUACUGGAAACGGUAGCUAAUACCGCAAACCAUCAACUGUGCCCAGAUGGGAUUGGCUAGUAGGUGGGGUAAUGGCUUACCAAGGCGACGAUCCAUAGCUGGUCUGAGAGGAUGACCAGCCACACUGGAACUGAGACACGGUCCAGACUCCUACGGGAGGCAGCAGUGGGGAAUAUUGCACAAUGGGCGCAAGCCUGAUGUAGCCAUGCCGCGUGUGUGAAUAAGGCCUUCGGGUUGUAAAGCACUUUCAGCGGGGAGGCGUUACUCGCAGAGGAAGCACCGGCUAACUCCGUGCCAGCAGCCGCGGUAAUAC
rnacentral:rRNA from 1 species